GAUGAACGCUGGCGGCGUGCCUAAUACAUGCAAGUCGAGCGAACAGACGAGGAGCUUGCUCCUCUGACGUUAGCGGCGGACGGGUGAGUAACACGUGGAUAACCUACCUAUAAGACUGGGAUAACUUCGGGAAACCGGAGCUAAUACCGGAUAAUAUAUUGAACCGCAUGGUUCAAUAGUGAAAGACGGUUUUGCUGUCACUUAUAGAUGGAUCCGCGCCGCAUUAGCUAGUUGGUAAGGUAACGGCUUACCAAGGCAACGAUGCGUAGCCGACCUGAGAGGGUGAUUCGCCACACUGGAACCUAGAAACCGUCCAGAAUCCCAACGGAGGGAGCAGUAGGGAAUCGUUCGCAAUGGGCGAAAGCCUGACGGAGCAACGCCGCGUGAGUGAUGAAGGUCUUCGGAUCGUAAAACUCUGUUAUUAGGGAAGAACAAAUGUGUAAGUAACUAUGCACGUCUUGACGGUACCUAAUCAGAAAGCCACGGCUAACUACGUG
rnacentral:rRNA from 1 species